rnacentral:rRNA from 1 species
UGGGGAAUAUUGGGCAAUGGAGGGAACUCUGACCCAGCCAUGCCGCGUGCAGGAUGAAGGCGUUAUGCGUUGUAAACUGCUUUUAUAUAGGAAGAAAUAGUCCUUGCGAGGAAAGUUGACGGUACUAUAUGAAUAAGCACCGGCUAACUCCGUGCCAGCAGCCGCGGUAAUACGGAGGGUGCAAGCGUUGUCCGGAUUUAUUGGGUUUAAAGGGUGCGUAGGCGGUUUAUUAAGUCAGUGGUGAAAGACGGUCGCUCAACGAUUGCAGUGCCAUUGAUACUGGUAGACUUGAGUAUGAUUGAGGUAGCUGGAAUGGAUAGUGUAGCGGUGAAAUGCAUAGAUAUUAUCCAGAACACCAAUUGCGUAGGCAAGUUACUAAGUCAUAACUGACGCUGAGGCACGAAAGUGUGGGUAUCAAACAGGAUUAGAUACCCUCGUAGUCCCUGAGCGGGCUGGCAAGGCGCAU